rnacentral:hammerhead_ribozyme from 1 species
CCCUGCUGAGGAGUCCUAUAUUAGGACGAAACGGCCGUCCAGUGG